AGUCAAGUAAUUAAGUGCAUGUGGUGGAUGCCUUGGCAGUCAGAGGCGAUGAAAGACGUGAUAGCCUGCGAAAAGCUCCGGGGAGGCGGCAAAUAUCCUUUGAUCCGGAGAUGUCUGAAUGGGGGAACCCACCUACUUUAAGGUAGGUAUUGCAACAUGAAUACAUAGUGUUGCAAGGCGAACGAGGGGAAGUGAAACAUCUCAGUACCCUUAGGAAAAGAAAUCAAUUGAGAUUCCCUCAGUAGCGGCGAGCGAACGGGGAUCAGCCCAUUAAGUUAUGUGUGUUUUAGUGGAACGCUCUGGGAAGUGCGAACGUAGAGGGUGAUAUUCCCGUACACGAAAGGGCACACAUAAUGAUGACGAGUAGGGCGAGGCACGUGAAACCUUGUCUGAAUAUGGGGGGACCAUCCUCCAAGGCUAAAUACUCCUGACUGACCGAUAGUGAACCAGUACCGUGAGGGAAAGGCGAAAAGAACCCCUGUGAGGGGAGUGAAAUAGAUCCUGAAACCGCAUGCAUACAAGCAGUGGGAGCACCUU
rnacentral:rRNA from 1 species